rnacentral:rRNA from 1 species
CCUAACACAUGCAAGUCGAACGGUAACAGGAAACAGCUUGCUGUUUCGCUGACGAGUGGCGGACGGGUGAGUAAUGUCUGGGAAACUGCCUGAUGGAGGGGGAUAACUACUGGAAACGGUAGCUAAUACCGCAUAACGUCGCAAAACCAAAGAGGGGGACCUUCGGGCCUCUUGCCAUCGGAUGUGCCCAGAUGGGAUUAGCUAGUAGGUGGGGUAACGGCUCACCUAGGCGACGAUCCCUAGCUGGUCUGAGAGGAUGACCAGCCACACUGGAACUGAGACACGGUCCAGACUCCUACGGGAGGCAGCAGUGGGGAAUAUUGCACAAUGGGCGCAAGCCUGAUGCAGCCAUGCCGCGUGUAUGAAGAAGGCCUUCGGGUUGUAAAUACUUUCAGCGGGGAGGAAG